UACGUAGGGUGCAAGCGUUGUCCGGAAUUAUUGGGCGUAAAGAGCUCGUAGGCGGUUUGUCGCGUCUGCUGUGAAAACUCGGGGCUUAACUCCGGGCCUGCAGUGGGUACGGGCAGACUAGAGUGCGGUAGGGGAGACUGGAAUUCCUGGUGUAGCGGUGAAAUGCGCAGAUAUCAGGAGGAACACCGGUGGCGAAGGCGGCUCACUGGACCGGAACUGACGCUGAGGCGCGAAAGCGUGGGGAGCAAACGGG
rnacentral:rRNA from 1 species